rnacentral:rRNA from 1 species
GACGAACGCUGGCGGCGUGCCUAAUACAUGCAAGUAGAACGCUGAAGGAGGAGCUUGCUUCUCUGGAUGAGUUGCGAACGGGUGAGUAACGCGUAGGUAACCUGCCUGGUAGCGGGGGAUAACUAUUGGAAACGAUAGCUAAUACCGCAUAAGAUUGACUAUUGCAUGAUAGUCAGUUAAAAGGUGCAAUUGCAUCACUACCAGAUGGACCUGCGUUGUAUUAGCUAGUUGGUGGGGUAACGGCUCACCAAGGCGACGAUACAUAGCCGACCUGAGAGGGUGAUCGGCCACACUGGGACUGAGACACGGCCCAGACUCCUACGGGAGGCAGCAGUAGGGAAUCUUCGGCAAUGGACGGAAGUCUGACCGAGCAACGCCGCGUGAGUGAAGAAGGUUUUCGGAUCGUAAAGCUCUGUUGUAAGAGAAGAACGAGUGUGAGAGUGGAAAGUUCACACUGUGACGGUAUCUUACCAGAAAGAGACGGCUAACUACGCG